AGCAGAUGGCAGACAGCAUUACUUAUAGACCAUAAGAACUGUCUAAAUAGCAGGAGGAGGAGGCCAGUGGGAUGAGCCAGAGAAGGAGUGAGGACAUAAUUGUUGGAAAACCAGGAUUGGACAGGAAGCGGUGGUGGUUCUUAGUCUGAUCUUGGCUUCAGAAUGUUCAGCAACUUGAAUUUCUGCUCUUGUAAAUUUCCUUGCAUAUUGAAGUGGCUGUAAUCUGCUCCGUUCACCCUUCACAUGGAGUCCCAUACGACUUUUCACCAGGGUAAUGAUGCUGCUUCGUAGACUCAUUAGACUACAUAUACUGAUAUUUAGCAGUAACUCCAGAGCAAGAGGUCGUGCUAUCAGACUGGAAUUUGGCAGACUCAUGGAAAAUAUGGGUAGGCGGCUCUACUGGGUGGUGGUCUCAUGUAGCAGAUUGCACGAAAAAGUGACAAAGGUUAACUCUGGAAGGACAUUAAACUUGCAUAGGCCAUUUAUGAGACUGUUUCAAUAAAAAUAAAGACCAGCUGUUAGUUAAGGGUGUUCCAGCUGAAAAAAAGACAUUACAAAGGCAAAGGACUAAUAAACAAGA